GUAGCUUGCUACCGGACCUAACGGCGGACGGGUGAGUAAUGCUUAUGAAUCUGCCUAUUAGUGGGGGACAACAUCUCGAAGGGGAUGCUAAUACCGCAUACGUCCUACGGGAGAAAGCAGGGGAUCUUCGGACCUUGCGCUUAUAGAUGAACCUAAGUCGGAUUAACUAGUUGGUGGGGUAAAGGCCGACCAAGGCGACCAUCUGUACCGGGUCUGACAGGAUGAUCCGCCACACUGGGACUGACACACGGCCCAGACUCCUACGGGAGGCAGCAGUGGGGAAUAUUGGACGAUGGGGGGAACCCUGAUCCAGCCAUGCCGCGUGUGUGAAGAAGGCCUUAUGGUUG
rnacentral:rRNA from 1 species